UACGUAGGGGGCAAGCGUUGUCCGGAAUCAUUGGGCGUAAAGCGCGUGUAGGCGGCCCGGUAAGUCCGCUGUGAAAGUCGGGGGCUCAACCCUCGAAUGCCGGUGGAUACUGUCGGGCUAGAGUGCGGAAGAGGCGAGUGGAAUUCCUGGUGUAGCGGUGAAAUGCGUAGAUAUCGAGAGGAACACCUGCGGCGAAGGCGGGUAGCUGGGCCGACACUGACGCUGAGGCGCGAAAGCCAGGGGAGCGAACAGG
rnacentral:rRNA from 1 species